UACAGGGGGUGCAACCGUUGCUCGGAAUCAUUGGGCGUAAAGCGCACGUAGGCGGUCUGUUAUGUCGGAUGUGAAAGCCCUUGGCUCAACUGAGGAAGUGCAUCCGAAACUGGCAGGCUAGAGUACGAAAGAGGAUCGCGGAAUUCCCGGUGUAGAGGUGAAAUUCGUAGAUAUCGGGAGGAACACCGGUGGCGAAGGCGGUUACCUGGAGCUUUGCUGACGCUGAUGCGCGAAAGCGUGGGGAGCGAGCCGG
rnacentral:rRNA from 1 species